rnacentral:pre_miRNA from 1 species
AUGGCUGUGGAUCAAGUCCAUGUUAAGAUUUCGAAUUGUCAUGACUAGAUCCACACUCAUCC